GGAUGAACGCUGGCGGCGUGCCUCAAACAUGCAAGUCGAGCGAGGCUAUGAAUUACCGCAAGGUAAGGCAUAGCCUAGCGGCGAACGGGUGAGUAACACGUGGGUAACCUACCUGGAAGACAGGGAUAACGAUUCGAAAGGGUCGCUAAUACCUGAUAAUAUCCAUCUGCCGGAUGGCGGAGGGAAGAAAGGGGAAACCCGCUUUCAGAUGGGCCCGCGUCCCAUCAGCUAGUUGGUAAGGUAAAGGCUUACCAAGGCGACGACGGGUAGCCGGUCUGAGAGGAUGUACGGCCACACUGGGACUGAGAUACGGCCCAGACUCCUACGGGAGACAGCAGUUGGGAAUCUUAGGCAAUGGACGAAAGUCUGACCUAGCGACGCCGCGUGAGGGAAGAAGGCCUUCGGGUUGUAAACCUCUGUCAUGGGGGAAGAAGGAAGUGACGGUACCCCAAGAGGAAGCCCCUGCUAACUACGUGCCAGCAGCCGCGGUAAUACGUAUGUCGCAAGCGUUAUCCGGAAUUAUUGGGCGUAAAGGGCAUCUAGGCGGUCAAUCAAGUCGAAGGUGAAAACUUGUGGCUCAACCAUAAGCUUGCCUACGAAACUGAUUAACUAGAGUACUGGAGAGGUGGACGGAACUACACGAGUAGAGGUGAAAUUCGUAGAUAUGUGUAGGAAUGCCGAUGAUGAAGAUAGUUCACUGGACAGAAACUGACGCUGAAGUGCGAAAGCUAGGGGAGCAAACAGGAUUAGAUACCCUGGUAGUCCUAGCUGUAAACGAUGAUCACUGGGUGUGGGCAGGAAGACUGUCUGUGCCGAAGCUAACGCGAUAAGUGAUCCGCCUGGGGAGUACGACCGCAAGGUUGAAACUCAAAGGAAUUGACGGGGACCCGCACAAGCGGUGGAGCAUGUGGUUUAAUUCGACGCAACGCGAGGAACCUUACCAGAUCUUGACAUCCUCAGAAUCGAACAGAAGUGUUUGAGUGCCUUCGGGAACUGAGAGACAGGUGGUGCAUGGCUGUCGACAGCUCGUGUCGUGAGAUGUUGGGUUAAGUCCCGCAACGAGCGCAACCCCUAUCGUUAGUUACCAUCAUUAAGUUGGGGACUCUAGCGAGACUGCCUGCGAAGAGCAGGAGGAAGGUGGGGAUGACGUCAAGUCAUCAUGCCCCUUAUGAUCUGGGCUACACACGUGCUACAAUGGAUGGUACAAAGAGGAGCGAAAUGGUGACAUGGAGCAAAUCUCAAAAGCCAUUCCCAGUUCGGAUUGAAGUCUGCAACUCGACUUCAUGAAGUUGGAAUCGCUAGUAAUCGCAAAUCAGCGAUGUUGCGGUGAAUACGUUCUCGGGUCU
rnacentral:rRNA from 1 species